rnacentral:lncRNA from 1 species
GGUCUCCCGACCCCAAACACUUGCGGUGCCCCCCCAUUUAGCCCCCAAAACUUCUCCCGGGCGUCUCCCCGGGCUGAGGAAGCCGGCGACCCCUCCUCGCCGCCUUUGGGGCGCUCGCCAGGCGCCUCCGGGUUGCUGGGGCUGCCCCCUCCUCUCCUCACAGCGCCAGCUCGGGCUCACCUCAGGGACGAGGGGGAGCACGAGCCCCUCCUCACCCCAAAACGACGCCCCUCGGCACCCCACCAAGGGCAUGGCGCUCCCCGCUCCCCCUCCCCGGGGGCCGCCGUAUGGCCGCUGCUCCCUUCCCCCGCGGCUCCUCUCCAUCCCACUCCCUGCCCACCCGGCACCCCAGGGUGCUGCCCGGCUCCCUCACCGCUCUCUCCUCGGGGCCGUUUCUCCUCGUCGCUGCCUCCGUUAACGCCGCUGCCCCCCGCUCGGGGCUCCGCUCGCCGCCCUUCAGCCCAGGCCCUGCUCCCUGCGGAGCCCCUCCGCUGCGGCUCCGCUGCACCUGCGGCGGGGCCGGGAGGAGGAGAGGGCACCCCCGCUCCGUCCUCCCUCAACUUCUCAUCCCUUCCCUCCGCCUCGCCGCCCCGGCUCUGCCCUCGACCCUCCCGGAGCCAGCAGCGGCCCCUGGGCCAGACGAGCGGAGGCUCCCCCCUGGCCGGCACCGGCGAGCCGCUGUCCGGGUCCCCGGGCGCCCUGCCGCCCCAUGCACUGCCCCAGCGCCCCGGACGGUGGGCAGGGGCUCCCGGCGGGGCAGGUGCCCUGGGCACGCCUCUGGCGGGUGGGACCGGGGCUGAGCUCCACCAAUCGGCCCCGCUGCGGCGGGAGGAGGAGGAGGAGGAGGAGGAAGGAGCGGCCCAGGUUUCCAAACUGUGUGUGCAAGUAACACCAUUUACAGCCAUUGUUACCCUGUUUAAAGAAGAUCGUUCACAUUGUAGAUCUGCUGGAGCAACAGUGGAUGGCACCACAAACCGAGGGAGCCUGUUCGAUGUCUUGACCUCCCGUACUACAGCUGCUGGAAGCGCCAGAAAUUUGCACGUGUCCUGUGGGUGUGCUUGUGUGUACCACAGACGGGGAUGCAGACCAACAAGUACUGGGUGGGGUGUUAGAAAGGUUGGUGACACUCGCAGAUGUCAGAAGGCAACGUGUCACAGACCAGCCUGAGAAUGGGGACAAAUCAUGCCCACCCAAGAAAAAAAAGAAGACUGAUUUAUGAAUGCAUUUUAGAGCAGUAAAAGGAACUAAUACAGCGACAUGAUUCUCUGGUAGUGUUACAAAAUGUGUAAUGAGCUAUCCCAAGACUUGAGAAGCACUGUUAUGUAGGAGGGAAAAAUUUGACCUGCAGUUAUACCCCAGAAAAUCAUCAUUCACUAUUCCUGAAACAACACUGUUGAAGGAAGAUUAGAUCCUAAACUGCUU